AUUGAACGCUGGCGGCAGGCUUAACACAUGCAAGUCGAGCGCGGCGCGCGCGGGAGUGUUAUGUCUGGGACACCCCCUUAUGGAGGGGGAACACCACUGGACACGGUAUCUAAUACCACAUACCCUCAUGUGUGCCUAUAUGGGAUUAGCUAGGAGGUGGGGUAAUGGCUCACCUAGGCGACGAUCCCUAGCUGGUCUGAGAGGAUGACCAGCCACACUGGGACUGAGACACGGUCCAGACUCCUACGGGAGGCAGCAGUGGGGAAUAUUGCACAAUGGGCGCAAGCCUGAUGCAGCCAUGCCGCGUGUGUGAAGAAGGCCUUCGGGUUGUAAAGUACUUUCAGCGGGGAGGCGUUACUGGCAGAAGAAGCACCGGCUAACUCCGUGCCAGCAGCCGCGGUAAUAC
rnacentral:rRNA from 1 species